rnacentral:rRNA from 1 species
UAACACAUGCAAGUCGAACGGUAACAGGAAGAAGCUUGCUUCUUUGCUGACGAGUGGCGGACGGGUGAGUAAUGUCUGGGAAACUGCCUGAUGGAGGGGGAUAACUACUGGAAACGGUAGCUAAUACCGCAUAACGUCGCAAGACCAAAAAGGGGGACCUUCGGGCCUCUUGCCAUCGGAUGUGCCCAGAUGGGAUUAGCUAGUAGGUGGGGUAACGGCUCACCUAGGCGACGAUCCCUAGCUGGUCUGAGAGGAUGACCAGCCACACUGGAACUGAGACACGGUCCAGACUCCUACGGGAGGCAGCAGUGGGGAAUAUUGCACAAUGGGCGCAAGCCUGAUGCAGCCAUGCCGCGUGUAUGAAGAAGGCCUUCGGGUUGUAAAGUACUUUCAGCGGGGAGGAAGGGAGUAAAGUUAAUACCUUUGCUCAUUGACGUUACCCGCAGAAGAAGCACCGGCUAACUCCGUGCCAGCAGCCGCGGUAAUACGGAGGGUGCAAGCGUUAAUCGGAAUUACUGGGCGUAAAGCGCACGCAGGCGGUUUGUUAAGUCAGAUGUGAAAUCCCCGGGCUCAACCUGGGAACUGCAUCUGAUACUGGCAAGCUUGAGUCUCGUAGAGGGGGGUAGAAUUCCAGGUGUAGCGGUGAAAUGCGUAGAGAUCUGGAGGAAUACCGGUGGCGA